rnacentral:rRNA from 1 species
AACGGGUGAGUAAAGCAUCGGAACGUACCCGGGAGUGGGGGAUAACUAUCCGAAAGGAUAGCUAAUACCGCAUAUUCUGUGAGCAGGAAAGCAGGGGAUCGCAAGACCUUGCGCUGAUUGAGCGGCCGAUAUCAGAUUAGCUAGUUGGUGGGGUAAAGGCCUACCAAGGCGACGAUCUGUAGCGGGUCUGAGAGGAUGAUCCGCCACACUGGGACUGAGACACGGCCCAGACUCCUACGGGAGGCAGCAGUGGGGAAUUUUGGACAAUGGGCGCAAGCCUGAUCCAGCCAUGCCGCGUGAGUGAAGAAGGCCUUCGGGUUGUAAAGCUCUUUCGGCCGGGAAGAAAUCGCAUGGGCUAAUACCCUGUGUGGAUGACGGUACCGGAAUAAGAAGCACCGGCUAACUACGUGCCAGCAGCCGCGGUAAUACGUAGGGUGCGAGCGUUAAUCGGAAUUACUGGGCGUAAAGCGUGCGCAGGCGGUUUUUUAAGAUAGGCGUGAAAUCCCCGGGCUCAACCUGGGAACUGCGCUUAUGACUGGAAGACUAGAGUAUGGCAGA